CCUACGGGUGGCAGCAGUCGAGAAUCAUUCACAAUGGGGGAAACCCUGAUGGUGCGACGCCGCGUGGGGGAAUGAAGGUCUUCGGAUUGUAAACCCCUGUCAUGUGGGAGCAAAUUAAAAAGAUAGUACCACAAGAGGAAGAGACGGCUAACUCUGUGCCAGCAGCCGCGGUAAUACAGAGGUCUCAAGCGUUGUUCGGAAUCACUGGGCGUAAGGCGUGCGUAGGCUGUUUCGUAAGUCGUGUGUGAAAGGCGCGGGCUCAACCCGCGGACGGCACAUGAUACUGCGAGACUAGAGUAAUGGAGGGGUAACCGGAAUUCUCGGUGUAGCAGUGAAAUGCGUAGAUAUCGAGAGGAACACUCGUGGCGAAGGCGGGUUCCUGGACAUUAACUGACGCUGAGGCACGAAGGCCAGGGGAGCGAAAGGGAUUAGAUACCCCUGUAGUC
rnacentral:rRNA from 1 species